AACGAACGCUGGCGGCAUGCCUAACAUAUGCAAGUCGAACGAGACCUUCGGGUCUAGUGGCGCACGGGUGCGUAACGCGUGGGAACCUGCCCUUAGGUUCGGAAUAACUCCCCGAAAGGGGUGCUAAUACCGGAUAAUGUCUUCGGACCAAAGAUUUAUCGCCUUUGGAUGGGCCCGCGUUGGAUUAGCUAGUUGGUAGGGUAAAAGCAUACCAAGGCGACGAUCCAUAGCUGGUCUGAGAGGAUGAUCAGCCACACUGGGACUGAGACACGGCCCAGACUCCUACGGGAGGCAGCAGUGGGGAAUAUUGGACAAUGGGCGAAAGCCUGAUCCAGCAAUGCCGCGUGAGUGAUGAAGGCCUUAGGGUUAUAAAGCUCUUUUACCCGGGAUGAUAAUGACAGUACCGGGAGAAUAAGCUCCGGCUAACUACGUG
rnacentral:rRNA from 1 species